UUAAACUGAAGAGUUUGAUCCUGGCUCAGAUUGAACGCUGGCGGCAUGCCUUACACAUGCAAGUCGAACGGCAGCACGGGUGCUUGCACCUGGUGGCGAGUGGCGAACGGGUGAGUAAUACAUCGGAACAUGUCCUGUAGUGGGGGAUAGCCCGGCGAAAGCCGGAUUAAUACCGCAUACGAUCUACGGAUGAAAGCGGGGGACCUUCGGGCCUCGCGCUAUAGGGUUGGCCGAUGGCUGAUUAGCUAGUUGGUGGGGUAAAGGCCUACCAAGGCGACGAUCAGUAGCUGGUCUGAGAGGACGACCAGCCACACUGGGACUGAGACACGGCCCAGACUCCUACGGGAGGCAGCAGUGGGGAAUUUUGGACAAUGGGCGAAAGCCUGAUCCAGCAAUGCCGCGUGUGUGAAGAAGGCCUUCGGGUUGUAAAGCACUUUUGUCCGGAAAGAAAUCCUUGGC
rnacentral:rRNA from 3 species